rnacentral:rRNA from 1 species
UACAGGGGGUGCAAACGUUGCUCGGAAUCAUUGGGCGUAAAGCGCACGUAGGCGGUUCGUUAUGUCGGAUGUGAAAGCCCUUGGCUUAACCGAGGAAGUGCAUCCGAAACUGGCGAGCUAGAGUACUAAAGAGGAUCGCGGAAUUCCCGGUGUAGAGGUGAAAUUCGCAGAUAUCGGGAGGAACACCGGUGGCGAAGGCGGUUCUCUGGGCCUUACCUGACGCUGAGGAGCGAAAGCGUGGGGAGCGAACAGG